CAGCCGCCACGGUAACACGUAGGGUGCAAGCGUCAAUCGGAAUUACUGGGCGUAAAGCGUGCGCAGGCGGUUCGCUAAGACAGAUGUGAAAUCCCCGGGCUUAACCUGGGAACUGCGUUCUGAACUGGAUAGCUAGAGUGUGUCAGAGGGGGGUAGAAUUCCACGUGUAGCAGUGAAAUGCGUAGAGAUGUGGAGGAAUACCGAUGGCGAAGGCAGCCCCCUGGGAUAGCACUGACGUUCAUGCCCGAAAGCGUGGGUAGCAAACAGGAUUAGAUACCCGUGUAGUCCCUGUCUCUUAUAC
rnacentral:rRNA from 1 species